GACAGAGGGUGCAAGCGUUGUUCGGAAUCAUUGGGCGUAAAGGGCGCGUAGGCGGUUUUGUAAGUCGAAUGUGAAAGCCCAGGGCUCAACCUUGGAAGUGCAUCCGAAACUGCGAAACUUGAAUCCUUGAAAGGGUGGUGGAAUUCCCAGUGUAGAGGUGAAAUUCGUAGAUAUUGGGAGGAACACCGGUGGCGAAGGCGACCACCUGGACAGAGAUUGACGCUGAGGCGCGAGAGCGUGGGGAGCAAACAGG
rnacentral:rRNA from 1 species